GAUGAACGCUGGCGGCGUGCCUAAUACAUGCAAGUCGAGCGAACGGACGAGAAGCUUGCUUCUCUGAUGUUAGCGGCGGACGGGUGAGUAACACGUGGAUAACCUACCUAUAAGACUGGGAUAACUUCGGGAAACCGGAGCUAAUACCGGAUGAUAUUUUGAACCGCAUGGUUCAAAAGUGAAAGACGGUCUUGCUGUCACUUAUAGAUGGAUCCGCGCUGCAUUAGCUAGUUGGUAAGGUAACGGCUUACCAAGGCAACGAUGCAUAGCCGACCUGAGAGGGUGAUCGGCCACACUGGAACUGAGACACGGUCCAGACUCCUACGGGAGGCCGCAGUAGGGACUCUUCCGCAAUGGGCGAAAGCCUGACGGAGCAACGCCGCGUGAGUGAUGAAGGUCUUCGGAUCGUAAAACUCUGUUAUUAGGGAAGAACAUAUGUGUAAGUAACUGUGCACAUCUUGACGGUACCUAAUCAGAAAGCCACGGCUAACUACGUG
rnacentral:rRNA from 1 species